rnacentral:rRNA from 1 species
AUUGAACGCUGGCGGCAUGCUUUACACAUGCAAGUCGAACGGUAACAGGCCGCAAGGUGCUGACGAGUGGCGAACGGGGGAGUAAUGCAUCGGAACGAGCCCAGGCGUGGGGGAUAACGCAGCGAAAGCUGCGCUAAUACCGCAUACGAUCUCUGUAUGAAAGCGGGGGAGCGAAAGGCCUCGCGCGAUUGGAGCGGGCGAUGGCAGAUUAGGUAGUUGGUGGGGUAAAGGCCCACCAAGACAACGAUCUGUAGCUGGUCUGGGAGGACGACCAGCCACACUGGGACUGAGACACGGCCCAGACUCCUACGGGAGGCAGCAGUGGGGAAUUUUGGACAAUGGGCGCAAGCCUGAUCCAGCAAUGCCGCGUGCAGGAAGAAGGCCUUCGGGUUGUAAACUGCUUUUGUACGGAACGAAACGGUCCGGGUUAAUACCCUGGGCUAAUGACGGUACCGUAAGAAUAAGCACCGGCUAACUACGUGCCAGCCGCCGCGGUAACAC